UGGAUCAUAUUUUGAAGGAGAUAAAAUAAAUUUGCCUGAAAUUUAACUCUAUUUUGUUUUAUUUAAAAAUUCCCGGUACUUUCUGAUCAUAGGCUCUCGCGAUGGAUCCCUGUGGGAUUGCGAAAAAUAUAGAUGACUGGUUACGUGCAUCCGGCGAAGCUUGUUGCAAGGAUCAUAAAACAGUCACGUCCGACUUUCGGCAAACUGUUGAAUGUCUUGCCGGAGCUUAUGCAUACGUGAGAAUGUACUCAUAUCGCGAAUUGUAAACAUGUAACGCACGAUCGAGCGAUCUCAACUACGCAGCAUGGACAGAACGAAAAUCUAGAAACAACAGAAAUUUCACAAUGAAGAGUUACGUAAACUUGUACGGAUGUCGUAAAGGUGCGACCUGUUCUAGGAAUCUGCGUGAUUAAGCAAAGCAAUUAUUAGCAGUUUACGGAGGACACACAAUCCGUACGAUCUAUGACACGAGGGAUAAAUUGCAAUUUCGUCACUUUGUUACCUCGUGUUUGUGUCGUGCUUGCUGUGAAGUGAAACCCGCGCGGGAUGGGACACUGACUCUCGAGUAAUAGGUAAUUAAAUCGUCGUGGUAAGCGUUUAGUUAAUGAGUCUAGGAUUGUUAUGUAACGGUUAUCUCUAUGGCGUCCACGUAUAUAAGUGUGUAGUAUACACGUACGAAACAGUUCAAUUGCAAUCCUUGCAUCAAUCUAUGAUGUACUGUGAGAUAAUGACAGCUACAACUGGCAUGAAAAUAGCAUUGAUUUGGGAUCUGUAUCGAUAACAAUAAUUUAUUUAUAUAAAUACAGUGUAAAUAUAUACAUAUAUAUUUUUUGUACAUACAUAUAUAUUUGUUUAUAUUGAUAUAUUGUCUUAGCAAAAUCUACGUUCGUGCGUAUACGUAACUACGAUGAAACAUCAUUCGUUUCAAACUGUUGUUUCAUUAUUAACCAUAUUAUUUCCCCUACAAACUAUAAUUAUCUUAAAACUUACGAUUACUCCCUGUGUCCAAAAAAAAGAAUAGCGAUCUGCAAAGUAUCUGUUGUGUUACGAUUUUAAGAUUUAUACUUAAAAUAGAAAAAUCGUGGCCUCUCGCAGGGAUUUCGCGCUUCAAUCAAAUAUAAACUACGAAUUUGUCGAACGGUCGUUUCAAUUGUAGCAAAGGACUCUAAAUCAUCACAGUAGAUAUAAAUAGAUUUACAUAAAUAAGUACUAGAAAAGUACACGAAUCAGUACACAAUUUAGUACAGUCGGGAAAGUAUUUAUAAAUUCUGAAGUCUUAUUAAAAAUAUAAUAAAGUAAAGAGCAAAAAUAAUGCAGGAAGAUUAAUGUACAACAGAGCAAGUUUUUAAAAAUUUAUAUCCAAAUUUCAAAUUUGUAUUGGAGUUAUAAAAUGCAAUUUCUUUAAUAUUUUUUUAAUAUAUCGAAAAUAAACAGAAUAUAAAGCACCUUUAAAAUAAUUGAAAAGAGCGAAUUUAUUUUAUGUCAAACGAUAAUU
rnacentral:lncRNA from 13 species